rnacentral:lncRNA from 1 species
GUUUGAGAUAUGUUAGUAAAUGAACAUUCAUCUAGACAUAGCGUUUGUUUAGGAUUGUGUCUAAGCUUAAGGUUGAUAGUUUGAUUGAUCGUUUGUCAUCCUUAGUUCGAAACUUGAUCACCCAAGGUCUAAUCUCUAUGCCCAUGAGUUCUCUUUUCCCUUAGUAAAGAAAGUCACUUCAUUUAUCAUUAAUCAUUAGUUUAGAAACCUCUUAAAUUAUCGGUUGCACUUAGAUUAAGUGAGUACUUGCAUUCUCAUUGCUUUGAUAUCACUCAGAACUGGUUCGACAAUCACUAUACUACAAUAUUUGUCUUAAGAGCUUUGAAAACUCCUAACAUC